GGGGCUGUAGCUCAAUUGGGAGAGCGCAUCCAUGGCAUGGAUGAGGUUGUCGGUUCGAGCCCGAUCAGCUCCA
rnacentral:tRNA from 1 species